rnacentral:rRNA from 1 species
ACGUUAGCGGCGGACGGGUGAGUAACACGUGGGUAACCUACCUAUAAGACUGGGAUAACUUCGGGAAACCGGAGCUAAUACCGGAUAAUAUUUCGAACCGCAUGGUUCGAUAGUGAAAGAUGGUUUUGCUAUCACUUAUAGAUGGACCUGCGCCGUAUUAGCUAGUUGGUAAGGUAACGGCUUACCAAGGCGACGAUACGUAGCCGACCUGAGAGGGUGAUCGGCCACACUGAAACUGAGACACGGUCCAGACUCCUACGGGAGGCAGCAGCU